UGUAACUCAUCUGGAGACCAUCUGUGAUACCUUUGUUUGGGAAACAGAUUCUUUGCAUUGGCAUCUUUAAGUGAAGUUUAAGAGUUGGAAAUUGUAAGAGUUGGAAAAGGAAGAUAAAAUUCAUAUUUUCGUUCUAUUCUUUUUUGGUUAUUUGAGAAUAGAAUAUAACAAGAAAGAGAAGGAAGACAAGGAGAAGUCUUACAUUUAUGCAUUAAGAGACACAAGCAGAAUUCAAAUUGGCUGGGAAUUUCACAAAACUGGUUAUGUGAGUUAUCUUUGGAUUGCCUAUGGCCAGUAACUCAAGCAGCAACUUGAACCUGAGUUGGGUAAUUUGAAGUUACCGCUUGCUAAUUACUUUGCUGUACCCAAGACAGAAAACAGAGGAAAAAUACAUCAAUUUGCCUAUCAACAUUUUUCUGAGUAAGUAAAUAAACUUUGCAUGCUUUUUUUCUGAAGUUAUAUAUACAAAGAGCCCAAUAUUAAUGAACAACAAGAAAAUGAUUUCUGGUGCGGUAUCUGAUUAUGGAAAUGAAACAUUAAAUCCACAAUUUGGUCAAAGAUCUGCAGUUCUUUCUAGAUUUUCCUAUCUAGUGUUUGUGAAUAUAAAAUAAUAAAAUGCAAUUUAGGAUAAUAAUAUCAUUUAGCAGAUUACCAGAAGAUCUAGGCUGGAAGAAUCCUAAUAACUACUAGAUGACAGAAAAGAACUAGUAUUCUACGUAACUUUGUUGACAUCUGGUAGUCAUGUGGAUUUUUCUAGCCCAGAUUCAGUAGCCCUACUGAAAUUUAUGUAACGGAUUAAUUUUACAAAAAUGACAAGGCAGUAUUGCUGGAGAGGGAGGGACAGAGGAAGAAGAAAGAGGGAGGAGUACAUAGAUACAUACACUGUAUUUCUUUGGAAAUAUAUCACACUUUAUUAAAUGAAUUAUAUUAUAUAAAGACUUGGCUCUCUGGAAAAUGCUGCAAUUUGGCGAAAGGUGGAAAGAAAGACCAGCAACAAGGUGGAUGGAUUGGGUUACAGUAGUGAUGAAUGCAACAUUGGAAGAUCCAGGUUAAGGGUAGACCAUCAUAGCAAAUGUUUAUCUAUGAUUUCUAGGAGCUGAAAAUGAUUUUUAUGACAAUAACCAAUCAACUCUAUUAAACAAAUAUAGAAUUGCAGCCACAACAUUUGAUAGACAACUACCACAAAUGAGUUAUUGAUCUGGAUUAUUUUCUGGUUUUUAUUCACCAUGUUUCCUGGUCUCCUGAAACCAUGGUACUUCUGGAGCUGUUGUCUAAGACCAGUUCAAAGGAUUGAUCCAAGAUCCAGUUGAACAAGUGAAACCACCUGCCUCUUCUGGGCUAGGAGACCUAUCCCAACAAGCAAUUUUGGUUUGGUUUAACUCUUGUAAGGCAGCACCAAAAUACUGGAAUAUUGAAAAGGAAUAUUAUUAAAUCUUCCAAUUGUGAUGUUGGUAAAACAUCAGCUAAAAUAAAGACUGGAAGAAAUAAUGAAUGAGAGAAAAAUAGAAGAAAAAAAAAACAGAAACUGUUCUAAGAAGUCAUUAAUUGUUUAUAAGUAAUUUGGUUCAUGUUACUUUUUGUUCACAUAGUUUUCUCUGUCAGUUGUUUUGAUUCUAGUUGUUGCAAUUGUUUAUCUUGCUGCCAGUAACACAUAUUGUGUGCAUGCUAGCUGGAAAAUUUUGUGAGUUGAAGUCCACACAUCUUAAAAUUGCCAAGUUUGAAAAACAUUGUACUAAGUAAAAAUAAUUCUCAAUACAUUAGUCUUGUUUUAUAGUGUAUGUUAAUUCUAAUAUAGAAGGAUUUAUUACUCUAGGCUGCUGUUAAAGUUAUAUGGGAAAGACAAAGUAGUACAGGCCUAAUAGGUAUGUUUUUAAUAAGAGUAAUAAAUUAUAUUGUAC